rnacentral:rRNA from 1 species
GACAGAGGGUGCGAACGUUGCUCGGAAUCACUGGGCGUAAAGCGCGCGUAGGCGGGCAAGAAAGUUGGUUGUGAAAUCCCUGGGCUCAACCCAGGAACUGCAUCCAAAACUUCUUGUCUGGAGUGACGGAGAGGAUAGUGGAAUUCCCGGUGUAGAGGUGAAAUUCGUAGAUAUCGGGAGGAACACCAGUGGCGAAGGCGGCUAUCUGGACGUCCACUGACGCUGAGGCGCGAAAGCGUGGGGAGCAAACAGG